CCGGGAAACCGGAGCUAAUACCGAAUGAUCUGGUAGAGUCUGCGGACUUUAUUGGUAAGGCCGAAAGGCGCGAAGGGAUCGGGUUGCGGCCCAUUAGUUUGAUGGUGGGGUAAAGGCCUACCAUGACUACGNUGGGUAGCUGGUCUGAGAGGNUGNUCAGCCACACUGGAACUGGAACACGGUCCAGNCUCCCACGGGAGGCAGCAGUUGGGAAUCUUGCACAAUGGGCGAAAGCCUGAUGCAGCAAUCCCGCGUGAGUGAUGAAGGCUUUCGGGUCGUAAAGCUCUUUCAGCAGGGAANAAUAACUGACGGUACCUGCAGAAGAAGCACCGGCUAACUACGUG
rnacentral:rRNA from 1 species